AGGAGUAUAUUUCAGCAAAUCUCUCUACUCUCUCUAAGACAACAAGAACAGCAACCCUAUUUUCCCUUCUAGGGUUCUUGAAGAAACCCUCACCUUUGCAGCCCAAGUUGAAGGAAAUUUCAAGCUCUUGAAGAGUUUAAUUAAAAGAAUAAGUUGCUGAAUUGAGAUAAGUAAUCUAAAAGGCGGGAAGUCAAGUCAGG